UAUUAAAAAAUCGCUGGCAACUAACAGCGUAAACACAUUAUAUAUAAUUACUAGAUAAUUAUUCUAUUGCAAAGUGUGUCAUCCUGAAUGGGUCACAGACAGUACACCGUCGGGCAGGUAGAUAAUGUUCGCGAUGGAAACUACUCGAUCGACACAGUGUCUUUUUGUAAAGUUUCUUAAAACGGUACAGAAUGGAAUAUUGUUUCACUGGUUGGAAUUACGAUGUCUCUGGAAUGUUUGUUGCGGUAUCUGAGAGUAGUGUGCGAUGGGUAGUGCUGCUUCGCAGGCACCUGUGCUCAUGCGUUGUUUAAUAACAAGUGAUGCGUGUGUAAAUUUCGUGUAGUGGCAGUGGAAAGAGAUAGUAUAGGCCGGCCAGAAGUCAAACCAACAUUAACACAAAAGAAAAAAAGAAAGAGAACUACAAGAGACGCUUGUCUGUUACACAUCGUGCUUGCUGCCGAAAAUAAAAUAAAGUGGAGAAAUUAAAAAGAAAAUAAAAAGGCAUAGAAGGUACCUUGGGAGAUAAGAGAUCCUCUUCCGAACCACUCUGCCCUGUAGUAAGAGACGUCGCAACGAUCGAGGAUGCGAUCUCCGAAUCUGGAUGACAUCGUUGAAUCAUCGCUCACACGGAAGGAAGCUCCGAAUCAUGCUAAAAACAAGCUGGCAACUGGUACGUGGGAUGAUGUAUGUUUUAAAUUCCUAUCUCGAAGAGAAGACUCGAUAAAUUUUCUUCAACGUCUUAACCAAAUAUCGUGUUCAUCGCUUCGACGACUUCCUGCGGUAGACGUGGACGUCGCGCGGAGGAGUUGCAACGCGGAAGCCCCGUCUAGCGUUCUAAGCUCGCUAAUAACCUGGCGGCGGGUCAUUAUUCUAGAGAAGGAGGUAACGGAGGCGGCGGUCGCACGCACAGUUUCCCACUCAAAAUGAAAAACCCGAACGCGACCCGUCGUAGAGGGGGCAACGGUGAUGCAUGCACCGAAUACUUUCAGUGUCGGACGCCGACGAAUCGUGGUGGGGAAACUCGUGUCUGACGCCACUACGCACAUCUCUACCCCAAGCUUAGUCUAGCCUUAAUAGUCAUCCACUGGAAGCCGGAGACGAUGAAGCUGGCCAGAACGAAACGUCUUUCUCUGGAUCUUAUUCUGCUACGGCAAUCUCCGUUUCCACGCUUCGUCAAUUUCUCUUGGCAGGGACAUCAAGUGACAUUUAAGUGAUAUUCAAGUGAUAUUUAAGCGGUGCUUCGAACGAUACGCGUAACGGUGACAUUUUCUGACCAGUUUCGUGAUUAAUCGCUGACCAACGUGGUGUUUGACAGUUGGCUGCCUUCGAUCGGACUGCAUCGCUUUGUUUGCGACAAUGUCGAAUGCUAGUUCGAUGGAAGUGCAGCCGCGAUUGAACUGGACACGUGUGAUCUUUUAUCGAAGUUGAACGUCGCGAAGGUAGUGUGAUAUAUAUAUUUUUUGAAAGAUAAAUUCUCGGUGAGCGUUGGUGCGAAAAUUUGAAUAAAAUUCGUGUGGUUGAUUAUAAUACAAUCUUUGUGGUGCUUGAUCGAAGUGACAGACUCGUCGGUGGAAAUAUAUAGAGUUUUUACGUUUUUCUUCGGUGGUCGUUACAGUGAAUCGUUGAUAUAUUCUUUUUAUGUUCAGUUUGAUUUAUUAUCGAACGUAAUUAAUCAUUUAUUCGGUAUAAAUAUGAGUUUCGUUUCUAUUGUUGGACGAUUACAAAUACAUUUCUUGCCAGUUUUAGUGAUUCAUAUAUUUUUUUCGAGACACGAGACUCACGUACCAUGUUCGUACGAGAUAACGAUCAGUAUGAUUCUUCUUUUCUUUUUUAGCGGUGAUGAUUCACCUGUGGUGAACAAGACAAAGCGUUGUUUAUCGUGGCGAGUCUCGUUUCUCGGAUACAUGUGAGAACGGAUACAGUGAUACACACUAGGAUCUAAUGGAUGACACACAAAAUUUAUUCGAUGAAUCACGGACGAUUGGAGUGGUCAUGUACAAAAAUAAAAAUAAAAUCAACGUUUAGCGAGA